rnacentral:rRNA from 1 species
UUGGAGGGCAAGUCUGGUGCCAGCAGCCGCGGUAAUUCCAGCUCCAAUAGCGUAUAUUAAAGUUGUUGCAGUUAAAAAGCUCGUAGUUGAAUUUCGGGGUCAGCAGGUUGGUCGUGCCAAUGGUAUGAACUGGCCUUGCUGAUUCCUCCCUCUUGAUGAGCCGUAAUGCCAUUAAUUUGGUGUUGCGGGGAAUCAGGACUGUUACUUUGAAAAAAUUAGAGUGUUUAAAGCAGGCAAGCGCUUGAAUACAUUAGCAUGGAAUAAUGAAAUAGGACGUUUGAUCCUAUUUUGUUGGUUUCUAGGAUUGACGUAAUGAUUAAUAGGGAUAGUUGGGGGCAUUAGUAUUCAAUUGUCAGAGGUGAAAUUCUUGGAUUUAUUGAAGACUAACUACUGCGAAAGCAUUUGCCAAGGAUGUUUUCAUUAAUCAAGAACGAAAGUUAGGGGAUCGAAGACGAUCAGAUACCGUCGUAGUCUUAACCAUAAACUAUGCCGACUAGGGAUCGGAUGAUGUUAAUUUUUUAAUGACUCAUUCGGCGCCUUACGGGAAACCAAAGUGUUUGGGUUC